GAAUCACAGAUGGUCCUAAAGCAAAUGGACUGUUAUUACCCAGUUUUAGAUGCCUGGAAUGUGACCAGCAACAGCGAAAUGCCAAUUACAAAGCCUGUUUUCAUGAUCAGAGACUUGGUUUCUUUAUUGUGCUACUGGUAUUAGCACAUCAUGGUUAUUAGGUUGCUGAGACUACAGCACAGCAAUGAACUAGCUCCAUUUAUGUAUGGCUCACCUGGAAUUCCCAUUCCACAAAGCUUCUCCAAAGAGAAAAUGCCCCUGAAACAUUUUACUGAAAUACCAUAAUGGUCUACAUUUCCAGCAGCAAUAGAACCAAUUACAGUUCCUCUUCAAACAAGUGGUGCACCAGUUUGAGACUCUGGACAAGCCCUAACAGCUCAGCACACAUCUGUUUUCUUUGUUUCAGCUGUACACCCAUGAGACCUCUUGCAGGAGUGGUAUGAACUGUGAAAAAGGGCUAUUGGGACAAUUUUCUUAAAAGAACAAGACUGGGAGUUUGUGUUUGGUUUGGUUUUCUUUAUCAAGCCACAUGCUACCUGGCGGAAGAGAAGCCAUCAUAGAAUAACCUUAUAUUAUUGUAUGUAUGUUUUAU